GACUUCUGACCUCCAGAACUGUAAAAGAAUAAAUCUGUGUCAUUUUAGGCUGCUGCAUUUGGGAUAAUUUGUUACAAGAGCCAUAGAAAAGUAAUACAGGCAAGAGUUUUAUGCUCUGUGGGAUAUUCGACUCAGAGGUCUGGUAAGCAAUUGGACAGAUCUGUCUGAUGCUCAGGAGAGAGGGGAAGACCGGGGCAUUGAGAAUGGAGAAGCACCAACAUUGAAUUGGUGCUGGAAGCGAGGUGCCUGGCAGAGAAUCCAUGGAUGGGAGUGAAGAGAAGAGUUCCCCAAAUAGAAUAUAGGGCAACCCUAACCUUUAGGGAUGGAUAACAACAAAGGAAACUGAGGAAAUCACCCAUAUCUGAGUUCAUUAGAAUGAAGAAUUAAAGUACUUUUCCAGCUUGUCACCAGGGACUCACUAACGAGCCACAAUAACCCAGUUUUCUAGCCCUGCUUACAAGUGCUGAUUGCCACCAGAGACUAAGGUCAAAUGCCAGAAGCCACAAACUCCAAACAAGCCUCCAUGACCCAAUUUUUGACUGGUUUGAUCCAGUUCAGACUCUGUGCUAACCCUCCAGAUGACCGGGGGAUUAUUACCACCUGCAGUAAAACCUU